UACGGAGGGUGCAAACGUUGCUCGGAAUCAUUGGGCGUAAAGCGCACGUAGGCGGCGCGUUAAGUCGGGUGUGAAAGCCCUGGGCUCAACCUAGGAAGUGCAUUCGAAACUGGCGCGCUUGAAUAUGGAAGAGGGUCGCGGAAUUCCCGGUGUAGAGGUGAAAUUCGUAGAUAUCGGGAGGAACACCAAUGGCGAAGGCGGCGUCCUGGGCCAAUACUGACGCUGAGGUACGAAAGCGUGGGGAGCAAACGGG
rnacentral:rRNA from 1 species